CUAGGAAUUUUGCGCAAUGGGAGAAAUCCUGACGCAGCAACGCCGCGUGGGUGAGGAAGGCCUUCGGGUUGUAAAGCCCUUUUAGCAGGGACGAAACAAGACGGUACCUGCAGAAGAAGCACCGGCCAACUCCGUGCCAGCAGCCGCGGUAAUACGGAGGGUGCAAGCGUUAUUCGGAAUUACUGGGCGUAAAGGGCGCGUAGGCUGUUUGCUAAGUCCGAUGUGAAAGCCCUCGACUCAAUCGAGGAAGUGCAUUGGAUACUGGCAGACUGGAGUACAGGAGAGGUAGACGGAAUUCCCGGUGUAGAGGUGAAAUUCGUAGAUAUCGGGAGGAACAACAGAGGCGAAGGCGGUCUACUGGACUGUUACUGACGCUGAGGCGCGAAAGCGUGGGGAGCAAACAGG
rnacentral:rRNA from 1 species